rnacentral:lncRNA from 1 species
AAUUGGAGUUGCUUCUUGAAGACAAAGAAGAAGAUGAAGGAUUGACAACAAAGUAGAAAAAUAUUGAAAAUACGGUGGGUUUGCUUGCAAAAAGAGAAAUGAAAAAGGAUAGGAGUAAUAUUCCAAAAGCAGUAUAAGCACCUAAAAAUCCAAUACAUACAAUAAGACCGACAAUGCCUAUUGUUCAACCUUUAACAUCUUU